rnacentral:rRNA from 1 species
AUACGAAGGGUGCAAGCGUUAAUCGGAAUUACUGGGCGUAAAGCGCGCGUAGGUGGUUUUGUAAGUUGGAGGUGAAAGCCCCGGGCUCAACCUGGGAAUUGCCUCCAAAACUGCAUGACUAGAGUACGGUAGAGGGUAGUGGAAUUUCCUGUGUAGCGGUGAAAUGCGUAGAUAUAGGAAGGAACACCAGUGGCGAAGGCGAUUACCUGGAUGGAUACUGCCACUGAGGGGCGAAAGGUUGGGGAGCAAACAGGAUUAGAUCCCCUGGUAGUCCACGCCGUAAACGAUGUCAACUAGCCGUUGGGAUCCUUGAGAUCUUAGUGGCGCAGCUAACGCAUUAAGUUGACCGCCUGGGGAGUACGGCCGCAAGGUUAAAACUCAAAUGAAUUGACGGGG